GAUGAACGCUGGCGGCGUGCCUAAUACAUGCAAGUCGAGCGAAUGGAUUAAGGGCUUGCUCUUAUGAAGUUAGCGGCGGACGGGUGAGUAACACGUGGGUAACCUGCCCAUAAGACUGGGAUAACUCCGGGAAACCGGGGCUAAUACCGGAUAACAUUUUGAACCGCAUGGUUCGAAAUUGAAAGGCGGAUUAGGCUGUCACUUAUGGAUGGACCCGGGUCGCAUUAGCUAGUUGGUGAGGUAACGGCUCACCAAGGCAACGAUGCGUAGCCGACCUGAGGGGGUGAUCGGCCACACUGGGACUGAGACACGGCCCAGACUCCUACGGGAGGCAGCAGUAGGGAAUCUUCCGCAAUGGACGAAAGUCUGACGGAGCAACGCCGCGUGAGUGAUGAAGGCUUUCGGGUCGUAAAACUCUGUUGUUAGGGAAGAACAAGUGCUAGUUGAAUAAGCUGGUACCUUGACGGUACCUAACCAGAAAGCCACGGCUAACUACGUGCCAGCCGCCGCCGUAA
rnacentral:rRNA from 1 species